rnacentral:rRNA from 1 species
CCCGCUGAACUUAAGCAUAUCAAUAAGCGGAGGAAAAGAAACUAACAAGGAUUCCCCUAGUAACUGCGAGUGAAGCGGGAAGAGCUCAAAUUUGAAAUCUGGCGGCUUCGCCGUCCGAGUUGUAUUCUGGAGAAGCGUUUUCCGUGCUGGACCGUGUACAAGUCCCUUGGAACAGGGCGUCGUAGAGGGUGAGAAUCCCGUCUUUGACACGGACUGCCAGUGCUCUGUGAUGCGCUCUCGAAGAGUCGAGUUGUUUGGGAAUGCAGCCUAAAAUGGGUGGUAAAUUUCAUCUAAAGCUAAAUAUUGGCGAGAGACCGAUAGCGAACAAGUACCGUGAGGGAAAGAUGAAAAGAACUUUGAAAAGAGAGUUAAAAAGUACGUGAAAUUGUUGAAAGGGAACCGUUUGAAGCCAGUCUUGCUUGCUUGUGAUCAAUCUUUGCUUCGGCUUGGAUGCACUCUCAGGUUAUGCAGGUCAACGUCAGUUUGAGAGGUGGGAAAAAAGCUUGAGGAAUGUGGCCUUCGGGUGUUAUAGCCUCUUGCUAAAUACCAUCUUUUGGACUGAGGCUCGCAGCAAAAAUGUGGGCAGGUUUGCGUUUGAGGUGAUACAUUAUUAAGACAGCUUGCUGACUUAGUUUUGUCUAUCUUCACUGUAAGCUUCGCUUCUAAUUUGCUUAGGUCGUUGACAUAAUGGCUUUAAAUGACCCGUCUUGAAACACGG